GACAGGAUAGUCAUCACUGGAGGUGUGUGGGACCCCAGGACACAACUGAAAACGGGUCUUCGUGGUUUGAUGGUCCUGUGUUAGAAAAUCGGGGUGAUCUGACUACCUGGGUUUGGAGAUGGGCAUCUUGUUUUCUGGCAGAAUUGAGGAAAGCAAGGCUGCUUUGGGCUGUGUGUAAGUUGUAAACUGGUUCUCAGAACAGACUCCAGGUCACAGUGAGUAUUGAGUUUUGAUUGUCAUCUGGGCUUGGCUAUGCUUGUCACCUGUGCUAUGGUACUCAACAGCUACUUUUGAUGGGUAUGGGAGAUCUUAUUUACCCAUUAGUUUUAUUUCAAAUCCUUCACUUAGAGCCAUUAUAAACAAGCUCCUUACAUUAUCCUUGGAGAAAGAAAGGUGUUUUCUUGGUAUGAUUUAGAGAAAUUGAGCAGAAAGUUUUGAGACAUUAAAAAAAAAAAAAGAUGAUUUCCAGCCACUACCUUCAGAAAAACAAGUGUCAACAUUUAAUUUUGGUCCAUAUGCUGCCUGCUUUUGGCCUGUAUUAUCCUGAGACCUUUUUUUUUUUUUUUUAGUUUAGAAACCUUUUUGACCUAGCUCAGAGUUUCCCCCCAAAACACGGAUUUUUUCCACACUUUUCUCACUUAUUUAAAAUGGAAAUAAAUAUCUCGGGAGCUUAAAAUAGAGAAGUGAUGGGGGGGUGCAUAAUCAUUUGUCUACAGCACUCUAUCACUGUUUUGAAUAACAGGGUUUUCACUUCCUAUGAAACCUUAGCAUGAGGGAAAGCAGCAGCUGGACCAGGAAGGGGAUGCAGGGAGGAAAGCACUUGAGUGUUUGUGAACUCAGGGUGGCUGGCCCACCGGGCUGCUGUACUUAGCUGUCUUUACUACCUAAGGCUAGAAGUGGAAAAACUUGAUUUGCGUGUUGUGCCUGCAUUUUUUUUUUUUUUCCUUCUCCACACCGCCCUCUGUACACCUGACCAUGCUGAAGCCUAUCUGAAGCCGGCUUGACGGCAGGGAGAGCUGGAGAGCGGAAGAAUGUGCUGAGAAAGGGAGUGCUCGGUACUUUUCCAUUCACAUCUCCACAGUGGCUUUUCUUGUUUAUUUCAACCUCCACCAGCGGAACCCUGUCAGCUGCCUGAAAUCCGAGUCAUUAAACUGUUCCCUGAGAAACAACGAUGCUACACUAGCAAAGAGCCCACCUGGUACCAGAUCUUGAUUUCUGAUACUUCUGUGCAGUAAUGGAAAACAAGGCUCCUUGGAGAAACGUCUGGUUCUAGAUCUAGGACUGGGGCAAGAAGUAUUCAAAAUUAGAAUGGAACAUCUUAUAGCAUCAUAAAUAAAGAAUUGCU